CAGGCACUUUCUAUAGUGCAGUGGGCAGAGCAGCUAACAUAAGGGCUGUGCAAGGCUGCAGGCCAAGGUCAAGUUUAAAGUCUCUGUCUAGCCAAGGAGAGGUCUGCCAAUUAAGCUC